GAUGAACGCUGGCGGCGUGCCUAACACAUGCAAGUCGAGCGAUUCUCUUCGGAGAAGAGCGGCGGACGGGUGAGUAACGCGUGGGUAACCUGCCCUGUACACACGGAUAACAUACCGAAAGGUAUGCUAAUACGGGAUAAUAUGUUUUGAUCGCAUGGUCGAAAUAUCAAAGCUCCGGCGGUACAGGAUGGACCCGCGUCUGAUUAGCUAGUUGGUAAGGUAACGGCUUACCAAGGCGACGAUCAGUAGCCGACCUGAGAGGGUGAUCGGCCACAUUGGAACUGAGACACGGUCCAAACUCCUACGGGAGGCAGCAGUGGGGAAUAUUGCACAAUGGGCGAAAGCCUGAUGCAGCAACGCCGCGUGAGCGAUGAAGGCCUUCGGGUCGUAAAGCUCUGUCCUCAAGGAAGAUAAUGACGGUACUUGAGGAGGAAGCCCCGGCUAACUACGUGCCAGCAGCCGCGGUAAUACGUAGGGGGCUAGCGUUAUCCGGAAUUACUGGGCGUAAAGGGUGCGUAGGUGGUUUCUUAAGUCAGAGGUGAAAGGCUACGGCUCAACCGUAGUAAGCCUUUGAAACUGAGAAACUUGAGUGCAGGAGAGGAGAGUANAAUUCCUAGUGUAGCGGUGAAAUGCGUAGAUAUUAGNAGGAAUACCAGUUGC
rnacentral:rRNA from 1 species